rnacentral:rRNA from 1 species
GAUGAACGCUGGCGGCGUGCCUAAUACAUGCAAGUCGAGCGAACGGACGAGAAGCUUGCUUCUCUGAUGUUAGCGGCGGACGGGUGAGUAACACGUGGAUAACCUACCUAUAAGACUGGGAUAACUUCGGGAAACCGGAGCUAAUACCGGAUAAUAUUUUGAACCGCAUGGUUCAAAAGUGAAAGACGGUCUUGCUGUCACUUAUAGAUGGAUCCGCGCUGCAUUAGCUAGUUGGUAAGGUAACGGCUUACCAAGGCAACGAUGCAUAGCCGACCUGAGAGGGUGAUCUGCCACACUGGAACUGAGACACGGUCCAGACUCCUACGGGAGGCAGCAGUAGGGAAUCUUCCGCAAUGGGCGAAAGCCUGACGGAGCAACGCCGCGUGAGUGAUGAAGGUCUUCGGAUCGUAAAACUCUGUUAUUAGGGAAGAACAUAUGUGUAAGUAACUGUGCACAUCUUGACGGUUCCUAAUCAGAAAGCCACGGCUAACUACGUG